CGUGUACUAAGGAGCAGUUAAUUGUAUUUCAAUUAACUGCUCCUUAGUACACGGCUGAGCAUUAUCAGAUUGAGAUUGUUGAUAGAAAACUUAGAGACUGUGAAAGGUGGAUUAAAGCAAGGUCUGUUCUUAAAGCAAGUAGGUGUUCUUUGUGGUAACUAUUGACCAGCAAAGGGAGCUGUUGCAACUGCAGUUGGAGAUAGCGCGAUUGCGAAAUUCCAAUAGACCAGAAGAAGGACCACCACAAUUUGAUGUUUUGCAGAAUCUUCGUUUGUUGCCUAAAUUUGAUGAGUCAGAUUGGGUUCUGGGGAACCUCAAGCAACAGUUAAUGCUAAUACCUGUCACUACUGUUUAGUUGAAGGACAUUGGAAGAAAGAUUGUCCUAUACUUAAAUCAAAGAAGUCAGGUCAAGUUAAACCUGCUGUGAUGGCUGUUGCAGCCUAUGACUACCAGGGUGAGUUUUUUCAGCCACUAGUUGAGUUUUGUUCUCAGUCUUCCCACUGAUUUUUCAGCCUUUAUUUCAGACGUUGUGGUGUCCCUGGUAGAUGUCAACCAAAAUGUUCCAAUUAAGAUUUUAGGAGACACUGGAGCUUUAGAUUAUUUUAUUCUGGAAUCUGUUUUGCUGUUCUCUAAGGAGUUUGAUACUGGCAGUUGUGUAAUGGUACGUGUCAUGGAUUUAGUCCCAUUCUCUUCUCCUUUACAUGAAGUUACCCUGAAAUGUAGUCUGGUAGAGGGUGAUGUAGUUGUUGUGGUUAGACCCCAGUUGCCAGUAGAGGGAGUCCACAUGAUUUUGGGGAAUGACUUGGCAGGUAGUAAGGUGUGGGCAGAUGGCAACCUAAACAUCUUUAAGAAGCAACCUUCAGCGGUCCCUGCAAGUGUAUCUCCAGAUUUCAGCAGUGUGUCUCCUGAGGUAUUUCCAGUUUGUGCUGUUACCCGUGCUGCCUCUCGUAAGGAAGUUGAGAGUAAGCCAGGGAGUCUUGAGUUGCCAGUUUAACUCCAGAUAGAACAGUUGACUAGUUCUAGAGAUUUAUUGAUGGCUGAGCAAAAGGCAGAUGCUACUGUAGCAGUAGGAGUAGACUCCUAAUCACCGUAUGCCCGCGGGACCAAUCAGAGCGCAGGGACCGGUAUAAACAAACCACAGUAGUCUCCUCCCUCCUAUUGCCCUCUUGGCCAGGUGACGGAACUGUGUCAGUCUUCCGCGUCAUUCACCCUGCAUGGUUGUUCGGCGCUGCUACAGAUCCCCGGCUGUCGGAGCCGCGUAGCUCCCUAACAUAGAGCGACCGCCACGAAGCUUGCCGAGCGGCGUGAUCGCCCGAGCUGUCUCCUUCACAGCGACGUCAGUAACUUGUGCAAUUGGGACUGGGCGGUCGUACCGGAGGAUCUUGGCCACCGUUAGCAGUCCAACUAGCUGCUGUUUUGCCUAUACGCCUUCUACCUCGGUUUGCGUACAUGUGUUUUUUUGGACUGCGUUGCCUUAAUUGUUUUGGGCCGGACCGCCUACACCGUUUUGCUCGGACGGCUUUACCCGGAUGAACAAUUUUAGCGUGACGUUUGAUCUUCCCCUUCCCCUUGACUUAUUGGGUCGACGGAGUUAUCUUGUUUUCUUUAUUGUUUAGUUUGUUCUGUAUUUUUGUUUCUUUAUAACCGGGUGAGUGAACCCGGUUGUAUGUACGCGUGUUUAACGUUUUGUUGCUUCUUUAUUCUUUUUAGAGCUGAACGCCGAAGGUCGUGGUGUGGUGUCCCGGUGGUGGUAUCGCCACAGCUCGUUUGCUGUGGUCUUUCGUUUUCAUUUGUUUUGCUGUGCUCACUAUUUUGUUUUUGUGUUCACGAGUGUCUUCUCUUGAAACCUCCCCCGCUGCCCUUGUGUCCCCUCCACAACCAAUGGUAAGCCUCAGCAUUCAUUAUUUUGUUUAUUAUUUUGACCAUUAUUACCCCCAUUAAUUCCCCUUUUGUUGUGGAGAUUGUGAGCGUGUUUUAAAUUGUUUUAUGGAUCUUGGUAUUUUAUUGUAAUAAACUUAUAACCCCUUUUUGUACAUUG